GGCAGCAGCCGCGGUAACACCGGCAGCUCUAGUGGUAGCAGUUUUAUGGGCCUAAAGCGUCCGUAGCCGGUUUAAUAAGUCUCUGGUGAAAUCCUGUAGCUUAACUGUGGGAAUUGCUGGAGAUACUAUAGACUGAGACCGGGAGAGGUUAGAGGUACUCCCAGGGUAGAGGUGAAAUUCUGUAAUCCUGGGAGGACCGCCCGUUGCGAAGGCGUCUAACUGGAACGGUUCUGACGGUGAGGGACGAAAGUUAGGGGCGCGAACCGGAUUAGAUACCCGGGUAGUCCUAACUGUAAACGAUGCGGACUUGGUGUUGGGGUGGCUUUGAGCUGCUCCAGUGCCGAAGGGAAGCUGUUAAGUCCGCCGCCGUGGGAAGUACGGUCGCAAGACUAGAAACUUAAAGGAAUUGGCGGGGGAGCACCACAACGCGUGGAGCCUGCCGGUUUAAUUGGAUUCAACGCCGGACAUCUCACCAGAGGCGACAGCUGUAUGAUAGCCAGGUUGAUGACUUUGCUUGACUAGCUGAGAAGUGGUGCAUGG
rnacentral:rRNA from 1 species